rnacentral:rRNA from 1 species
GUCUACGGCCAUGCCACCCUGAAUGUACUCAAUCUCGUCUGAUCUCAGAAGCUAAGCAGGGUCGGACCUGGUUAAUACUUGGAUGGGAGACCACCUAGGAAUACCAGGUGCUACAGACA